rnacentral:rRNA from 1 species
UACGAGGGGGGCGAGCGUUGUUCGGAAUUAUUGGGCGUAAAGGGUGCGUGGGCGGUUUUGUAAGUCUUAUGUGAAAUCUACAGGCUCAACUUGUAGUCUGCAUGAGAAACUGCAGGGCUUGAGUAUGGGAGAGGUGAGUGGAAUUCCUGGUGUAGCGGUGAAAUGCGUAGAUAUCAGGAGGAACACCUGUGGCGAAAGCGGCUCACUGGACCAUAACUGACGCUGAUGCACGAAAGCUAGGGGAGCAAACAGG